CUGGCCCUGAAUCAAGGCUGGCAGCUUCCUGAUGCUGUUGGUUUCAAGCAGGAGCCCGAAGAGAUGUCUUUCUAUGAUCUGUUGGCCAUUUCAGAACUUGGGCAGUGAAAUGGUCAAUUCAUUAGAAAGAGACAGUU
ensembl:snoRNA small nucleolar RNA SNORA2/SNORA34 family